rnacentral:rRNA from 1 species
AUUGAACGCUGGCGGCAGGCUUAACACAUGCAAGUCGAGCGAGCGGCGGACGGGUGAGUAAUGUCUGGGAAACUGCCUGAUGGAGGGGGAUAACUACUGGAAACGGUAGCUAAUACCGCAUACCAUCAGAUGUGCCCAGAUGGGAUUAGCUAGUGGGUGGGGUAAUGGCUCACCUAGGCGACGAUCCCUAGCUGGUCUGCGAGGAUGACCGGCCACACUGGAACUGAGACACGGUCCAGACUCCUACGGGAGGCAGCAGUGGGGAAUAUUGCACAAUGGGCGAAAGCCUGAUGGAGCCAUGCCGCGUGUGUGAAGAAGGCUUUCGGAUUGUAAAGCUCUUUCAGCAGGGAAGCGUUACUCAAAGAGGAAGCACCGGCUAACUCCGUGCCAGCAGCCGCGGUAAUUC